AUUAAUCUGCUUAAUGCCAAAACUCUGAGUAAGGAUAGUGACGCAGGCUCUGCAUGGAGCUGUUUGGUUUUGUUUCAGGAAGACAGGAGCUCACAUAAAGUUUAAGACAAAUAUAACGUGAGGCAAAAGUGUAAAUAAGAUAUUGUUCACAUGUUGCAUUGCCUAACCUUCUCAUCCACCACUUACCCUGUCCCAGAGACAAGUCGGAGCCCCAGCAGAGUGAGAAACAAUGUCCUCAUGGUACUCCUGUAGGGCCAGACUGCUCUGGCGUCCUCCUAGACCUAAAAAAACAACAAACUCAACAACAGUUAAGCUGGAUUUCAGUGGAAAGAAACAUCAUCUUGUCUACAAUGAGAGGACAUACUCUGCUGUCUCAAACAGGCAGACAUCCUCCUUAUCAUUCUGUGGAGAGCAGUUGUAUGGUUUCAGUCCCCAAGGCUUUCAGAGGCAAUAUGUUACCUGUGCCCUAUGAUUCUGUCCCGCACUUCUUCUGAUCUCAUAACAAGACAUUAUAGUAUAAGACUUUCUGAUAUAAGACGAAUGGGUAGAUUUUCACAAAUCUGAAACGUGUUUUACUACUGUAGAUAUUUUUGUGGAAGCAAUCCCUGGAACAUGAAGUGUACAAUGUAAAAUUCAAGCUAAAAGUGACAUUCAAACAUGAUUCUUUUAGCUCAAAUUGAGAAAAAAUUGGGUGUUUGUAAUCAUUUUAUGCUUAAUCUGUUAAUGUUGUUCCACUAUUAAAAAAUGAGACCAUCACCAGUACAAAAAAAUGUUUUAUUGUUGAAAACAAAAGACACACUCAUUCCACAUUAUUUUUUUUUUUGUUGAAAUUCCCAAUUCUCUCUUUGUGUCAAACAGAAAUAGAGAAAAAAAUUGCUUUCCAGAUGCAUUAAAAUAGAGAGAGGAAUCUUUGGGUGAGAUAUAUAAGCUCACUUUAUGACCAUUGGAAGGAUAUUUUUCAGUUCAAAUUUCUGGAUUUAUAUGAGGUGUCACUCAUCAUUACCAUUUUUGAUAUACUGUAAGAGUAACACAUUUUUCAGAGGUUCUGUGUGUCAGCCCUUGUU